rnacentral:rRNA from 1 species
GACGUAGGGCGCGAGCGUUGUCCGGAUUUAUUGGGCGUAAAGAGCUCGUAGGCGGCUUGUCGCGUCGUCCGUGAAAACCUGGGGCUCAACUCCAGGCUUGCGGUCGAUACGGGCAGGCUCGAGUUCGGUAGGGGAGACUGGAAUUCCAGGUGUAGCGGUGAAAUGCGUAGAUAUCUGGAGGAAUACCGGUGGCGAAGGCGGCAUCCUGGACCAUUACUGACGCUGAGGCGCGAAAGCUAGGGGAGCAAACGGG